UACGGGGGGGGCAAGCGUUGUUCGGAAUUACUGGGCGUAAAGGGCUCGUAGGUGGCCAACUAAGUCAGACGUGAAAUCCCUCGGCUUAACCGGGGAACUGCGUCUGAUACUGGAUGGCUUGAGUUUGGGAGAGGGAUGCGGAAUUCCAGAUGUAGCGGUGAAAUGCGCAGAUAUCAGGAGGAACACCGGUGGCGAAGGCGGGUCUCUGGGCCGAUACUGACGCUGAGGAGCGAAAGCGUGGGGAGCGAA
rnacentral:rRNA from 1 species